CGCAGGUCCCCUGAGUCCCCAGCUGCUCUGAGCUUUAUCUGUCUUCACUGACCCCCUGGCCUGGUCCUCAGCUCCAGCUCAGCACAGUUCCGGCUGCUUCCGCCUGGUCUGUAUCUGUUCCCCGUCAGAGGCCCCAUUGGAGCUCCGGCCCUUCAGCAGCCCAGAUAAAAGAGAUGGAUGGAGGUGAGUUUGGGGGUUGCCCCUCCCUGCAAGCACAGAGCUAGAGCCCUGGGCUGUGACAGGGGCUCCCUGAGGAGGGCUGAGGGUGAGGGUGAAGAUUGCCAAGUUCUCUGGAAGCCCAGUUCCUACCCAUCCCCACCCUGCCUUAGCCUUUUCCCUCCUCCAAAUGCCUAAUUCCUAAGGCCUCCUCCAGGCAGGCACCAAGACUGCAAUCACCCCAUCUUCCAACACACACUUCAGCAGGAAGCUCCGUACUAGGUACCCCACCCCCAUCUCCACGCAGCUCACCUGCCCAGAAACAGUAGUAGUGAAAUGACCAUUUACUGAAAACCUUUUGUGUUCCAGACACGUUACUUGUAAGAUCUCUACUGUCAUCACAACCCCUACAGAGCAAGUUUUAUAUUAUUUUUCAGAGGAGGACACGGAAGAAGGGAACCCAAGAAUCACCAGGGUAUGCCCUAGAAAGCAGCAGAACUGACAUUCAAACCUGUACUACAAAACUUCAUGUUCCCUUGCCGGGCUGUCCUUGACCUCCAAGGACAAAGUUCUGCUCCCAAAGACCCACCAUUGCCUUUCAGAGACCACUGCCACUGAGACCCCCUCCACCUCUACGAACUUUAACCCCUCUGACACCAGUUCACACUGUGAGGGAGGGGCAGGGGGAGCUGGGAAGCCAGAGUUAGAACCUGGGUCCCUGCAGGGCCGGCUGAGUCCAGGAGGCCUGUGGGGCCUUCUUCACCCCUGCUUCAGUGAUCUGGGAUGGGAAUGGGGGUGGGAGGUAGCAAAUAUUUGUCCCUAGGUCCUCAACUCUCAUCCUGGGAGACCCCGUCACUUCUCACAAAGACUCUGUCUUUUCUCCCAGGGAAGGCCAGACCCCACUUCAGCACCCUGAAGUCCGUGCUGCUUCCCAAGCGCCUACCCACCAAAGGGACAAGGCUGUGGGGCCUCAACCAGCAGGGCCGGGAAGGGGAAACUGAGGCUGUAAGGAGCCUGCGCUCGAAUUCUCUACAAAGUCUGCAAAAGCGAUCAAGAAGUACGGACUCCCGAGGUGAGCUGGACCCCCUUAGGUUGGGUGGAGCCUCUGCUCUGCAGGUGGGCACGGUACUAUCGAUAGACCCGCCAGGGGGCGCCUUCGAGCACAGCUGGGAGAGAGUCCCCGGCGAAGACCUAGCCAGGGUCCGACAACACAGACCACGUCCCCUGUUUCAGUGCGGAGUAGACCGCCUUCUGGUCCGGACGCCAAAUGACACGACCCCCUAUCCCUGGCACACCAGUCACAUCCCUACUUCUGCUUUCGCGGUCUUGGAAUUCACCCCAAGUAUCGAACCUGCUCGAGCUGUCGAGUGCGGUUCCUGGGGCCGCCGGGCUCCACACAGGCCUAGUCAACCAGAGCUGUCCUCUGGUUAG
ensembl:lncRNA